GAUGAACGCUGGCGGCGUGCCUAAUACAUGCAAGUCGAGCGAACGGACGAGAAGCUUGCUUCUCUGAUGUUAGCGGCGGACGGGUGAGUAACACGUGGAUAACCUACCUAUAAGACUGGGAUAACUUCGGGAAACCGGAGCUAAUACCGGAUAAUAUUUUGAACCGCAUGGUUCAAAAGUGAAAGACGGUCUUGCUGUCACUUAUAGAUGGAUCCGCGCUGCAUUAGCUAGUUGGUAAGGUAACGGCUUACCAAGGCAACGAUGCAUAGCCGACCUGAGAGGGUGAUCGGCCACACUGGAACUGAGACACGGUCCAGACUCCUACGGGAGGCAGCAGUAGGGAAUCUUCCGCAAUGGGCGAAAGCCUGCCGGAGCAACGCCGCGUGAGUGAUGAAGGUCUUCGGAUCGUAAAACUCUGUUAUUAGGAAAGAACAUAUGUGUAAGUAACUGUGCACAUCUUGACGGUACCUAAUCAGAAAGCCACGGCUAACUACGUG
rnacentral:rRNA from 1 species